rnacentral:rRNA from 1 species
CCGCCGGCGACCGGCGCACGGGUGAGUAACACGUAUGCAACCUGGCCGUGACAGAUGGAUAACCGGGAGAAAUCCCGCCUAAUACAACAUAAUGCCGGGAGGGGACAUCCCCUGCCGGCCAAAGGGGGCGACCCCGGUCACGGAUGGGCAUGCGGCGCAUUAGGUAGUUGGUAGGGUAACGGCCUACCAAGCCGACGAUGCGUAGGGGUUCUGAGAGGAAGGUCCCCCACAUUGGAACUGAGACACGGUCCAAACUCCUACGGGAGGCAGCAG